UACGUAGGUGGCGAGCGUUGUCCGGAUUUACUGGGCGUAAAGCGCGCGCAGGUGGUGGGGUGCGUCCCGUGUGAAAUCGCCCGGCUCACCUGGGCGGGGGCGCGGGAGACGGCCCGACUGGAGGCAGGCAGAGGCCGGUGGAAUUCCCGGUGUAGUGGUGAAAUGCGUAGAGAUCGGGAGGAACACCCGUGGCGAAAGCGGCCGGCUGGGCCUGACCUGACGCUGAGGCGCGAAAGCGUGGGGAGCGAACCGG
rnacentral:rRNA from 1 species